UACGGGGGGAGCAAGCGUUGUUCGGAUUUACUGGGCGUAAAGGGCGCGUAGGCGGCGUAACAAGUCACUUGUGAAAUCCCCGGGCUCAACCCGGGAACUGCGUCCGAUACUGGAAGGCUUGAAUCCGGGAGAGGGAUGCGGAAUUCCAGGUGUAGCGGUGAAAUGCGUAGAUAUCUGGAGGAACACCGGUGGCGAAGGCGGCAUCCUGGACCGGCAUUGACGCUGAGGCGCGAAAGCCAGGGGAGCAAACGGG
rnacentral:rRNA from 1 species